GAUGAACGCUAGCGGAAGGCAUAAUACAUGCAAGUCGAACGGAUGUAGCAAUACAUUAGUGGCGUACGGGUGCGUAACGCGUAUGCAACCUACCUUCAUCAGGGGGAUAACUACCCGAAAGGGUGGCUAACACCGCAUAAUACUACUGAAUGGCAUCAUUUGGUAUUUAAAUCUGCGGAGGAUGAAGAUGGGCAUGCGUCUGAUUAGCUAGUUGGUGUGGUAACGGCGCACCAAGGCGACGAUCAGUAGGGGAACUGAGAGGUUGGUCCCCCACACUGGCACUGGGAUACGGGCCAGACUCCUACGGGAGGCAGCAGUAGGGAAUAUUGGUCAAUGGUGGGAACACUGAACCAGCCAUUCCGCGUGCAGGAAGAAGGGUCUCUGACUUGUAAACUGCUUUAGCAAGGGAAGAAAAAGCUCAUGCGUGAGAAAUUGACGGUACCUUGAGAAUAAGCACCAGCUAACUACGUGCCAGCAGCCGCGGUAAUAC
rnacentral:rRNA from 1 species